GAUGAACGCUGGCGGCGUGCCUAAUACAUGCAAGUCGAGCGAACAGACGAGAAGCUUGCUUCUCUGAUGUUAGCGGCGGACGGGUGAGUAACACGUGGAUAACCUACCUAUAAGACUGGGAUAACUUCGGGAAACCGGAGCUAAUACCGGAUAAUAUUUUGAACCGCAUGGUUCAAUAGUGAAAGACGGUCUUGCUGUCACUUAUAGAUGGAUCCGCGCUGCAUUAGCUAGUUGGUAAGGUAACGGCUUACCAAGGCAACGAUGCGUAGCCGACCUGAGAGGGUGAUCGGCCACACUGGAACUGAGACACGGUCCAGACUCCUACGGGAGGCAGCAGUAGGGAAUCUUCCGCAAUGGGCGAAAGCCUGACGGAGCAACGCCGCGUGAGUGAUGAAGGUCUUCGGAUCGUAAAACUCUGUUAUUAGGGAAGAACAAAUGUGUAAGUAACUGUGCACAUCUUGACGGUACCUAAUCAGAAAGCCACGGCUAACUACGUG
rnacentral:rRNA from 1 species